UUAUUUGAGAGUUUGAUCCUGGCUCAGGAUGAACGCUGGCGGCGUGCCUAACACAUGCAAGUUGAGCGAUUUACUUCGGUAAAGAGCGGCGGACGGGUGAGUAACGCGUGGGUAACCUACCCUGUACACACGGAUAACAUACCGAAAGGUAUGCUAAUACGGGAUAAUAUAUUUGAGAGGCAUCUCUUGAAUAUCAAAGGUGAGCCAGUACAGGAUGGACCCGCG
rnacentral:rRNA from 1 species